rnacentral:rRNA from 1 species
GACGAACGCUGGCGGCGUGCUUAACACAUGCAAGUCGAGCGGUAAGGCCCUUUCGGGGGUACACGAGCGGCGAACGGGUGAGUAACACGUGGGUGACCUGCCCUCAGCUCUGGGAUAAGCCCGGGAAACUGGGUCUAAUACUGGAUAUGACUCCAUGACGCAUGUUGUGGGGUGGAAAGCCUUGUGCGGCUGAGGAUGGGCCCGCGGCCUAUCAGCUUGUUGGUGGGGGAUGGCCUACCAAGGCGACGACGGGUAGCCGGCCUGAGAGGGCGACCGGCCACACUGGGACUGAGACACGGCCCAGACUCCUACGGGAGGCAGCAGUGGGGAAUCUUGCGCAAUGGGCGAAAGCCUGACGCAGCGACGCCGCGUGAGGGAUGACGGCCUGG